rnacentral:rRNA from 1 species
AUUGAACGCUGGCGGCAGGCCUAACACAUGCAAGUCGAACGAGUGGCGGACGGGUGAGUAAUGUCUGGGCAACUGCCUGAUGGAGGGGGAAAACUACUGGAAAAGGUAGCUAAUACCGCAUACCAUCGGAUCUGCCCUGACGGGUUUAGCGAGUAGGUGGGGUAAAGGCUCACCUAGGCGAAGAGCCCUAGCUGGUCUGCGAGGAUGACCAGCCACACUGGAACUGAGGCACGGUCCAGACUCCUACGGGAGGCAGCAGUGGGGAAUAUUGCACAAUGGGCGCAAGCCUGAUGCAGCCAUGCCGCGUGUAUGAAGAAGGCCUUCGGGUUGUAAAUUACUUUCAGCGGGGAGGCGUUACCCGCAGAAGAAGCACCGGCUAACUCCGUGCCAGCAGCCGCGGUAAUUC